GGAGGAGGAGCGGGUGGUGGCGGCGACGGCAGCAGCUCGGCGUGAUGGCGCGGUCCUUCUCGCCCAUCCCUGGGCCGGGCGGGAGCGAGACACAUCGGCUGAGACACUGCAUCACUUGAAGUCUGUUUCUGUAGUCAACAUGGUAAGAUAAGUGGGAUCUCACUCGCCUCUGCAGCUGGCUAGCUGCCUCCUCCUAGCACAACAAGCCUAGCUGCUUUCACUUAUUCCCCAAUUACCUUUUUUGUUCUUUUUUUUUUUUUUUUUUUUUGAAUCCUUCCCCUCCCCCAGCUUCUUUACUUGCCUUCUAGCCCCAGGCACUCCUUUAGGCUUAGUUUUCUGAGCUUUUUGUUAACUUCCCUUCUCUGCCAGUUUCACUCUGCUUGCUUCUGGCAGUGUAGUGUCUUCCUCGCUGAUGUCUCCAGCUGUCACUCCCUAACCUCUGGAGGUUCGAGGUUCCAGAAAUCCCUGCAUUCUGAGGGCACCGCCUGUGGGGCUGCCUCUGGGGGCUGAAAGUGCACGUGGAAAUAGGGCAGCAGCCCAUGUGCUUCAUUGUCCCCUAUACAGCUGGGGUAUGCCUGAAUCCCAGUUUAAACAGCUCUCCUUCCAUUUCUUCUGUUUCUUCGCUUUUUGAUCAAGCCUCCUCAUUUCAGUUAUCUCCUAAUUUAAAGCCGUCCACUUAAGAUGAGCACCCUCUGGUCUGGUGCAGCUUCCUACAUCACCACGCUCCAAAAGGAACAAAAUGGAUACAACAGCAGUAUGUGGUUGAGGUGUCCAACAGUACUUGAAGCGUGUGAACUGCUUUCAUAGUGCUUCCCAAAUCUCCAGCAAGGUACCUACCAGUUUCACUCCCAAGCUGGGUGCUUCUCCAUGGUUCUGAAAAGAGUUGAUAAUAUAUCUGAGAUUUUCAGAAAGCACAGAGGCACUGAAGACUGACUAGGCCAAGGCAGAAUAAUUUUGUUAUAAAAGAGAGAUAGAAAGUAUUCCUGUUGUAUCUUUCUCAACUCUGCCUUCUUUGUUCUAUAGCACAGCUUUGACCUAUUAGAUACUUUUAACAUUUUUAAAUGACAGCAAAUCAAUCAUAUAAUGGCAAGGAAUGGAAGGGACCUUCACGAUCACAUCACUCUAUAAACUUGAAAAAAAAAAGGUGUUCAUUUAUAUUCUGUAGCUCAACUCAGCAUUGUAGGGAAUGUUUAACAUCAGAGGGUCUUAAACCACGUAAAUGCAUUUAAAAUAUAAGUCCUAAUGGGUUCCAAAGCUUGCAAUACAAAGCUAGACAGAGGAAGGAACUGUACAGGUGCCAAGGGCAUCUCCAUGGAGCUUUUGAACAAACUGUUACAGAUGUUAGGAGCAAAGAUACUUUGAAAGAAAUGGCUAAGUGCUAGUUACAGGUAUAAACACAAAUUCUCAGGGGAGUCUGCUGCAUCAGCAAGACUGCCCUCAUGCUGAGCAAAACAAAGUAGAGAGUUUGGGAAGGAGCUGUGUGUUUCCCAGUCUUAAAUUCUGAGAAAAAUAAUAGACAAAGGCAUGGCAGGAGGAAGAACACUAUAAAUAAACUGCAGCAGAGGCAGGAAUCUAGCAGGAGGAUAAGCUUAGUUCACUGAGUGAUGGAUGUGAUAAAGACAGCUUAAGAAACUGCAAUUAGUAUAGGCCAGAAAGUAUGAUUUCUCUGCAUGGAAAAUCAAGAUCUGGAGCAACUUGGAGCAACAUUUUAGACUGGAGAUAAGAUUACAGUGAAGGAAAGGGUCUUAUUUCAAAAAGGGCUCUUGGCCUGAAGAAGGGAAGAAAACAGGCAGGUAAGUAAAAUCCUUUCUUUCCAUACAAGAAAAGAAUAUUCUUUGGCUGUUUCCCACCCUGGAGGUAGUCCCCCUCUACAGCCACUGUAAGCAAGGGAGAGACAUAAGCACUACAGUACAGACACAAGCCAGUCAGUGUUGCUGUCCACUCCCUGGCUGGCAGAUAUUGCAGUAGAAACAUUACCUGGAGAGGAAUCUAUGAAUAUUGAAAUAGGAAGGCUGGAAGAAGGAAAGUUAUAAGAGCAUUUUCUAUAGUCCAAAUCCACUGUCAAGGUUAAGCAAAUUAGGGUAAUUUUACCACUGAGAAAAUUAUGUGAACAGGGAGAGAUCUGCACAGGAAUUACAGAUGCCAUAUAAAUGACAAGAAAGAAAGGAAUCUUCAGAAGGGAGUGGGAACAAGAGCUGAAAUCGUAAAGCUAUGAAUCCUAGAAAAAUGCAGGAAUUGAUCAGAUUUAAAUAGAAAAUAGCAAAGAGCAGCUUAAUAUCCUGACUAAGCAGACAGUACAAAAAUAGAUAACUGGAACAAGAACAAAAAUGGUGUUCCAGCAACUGCUGGAAGUUUAAAGACUUCGUUGAGAAAAUGAGAAUUUCUCACUUUAAAUGAGCACAUUGAUAUAACUGAUCUUUUGAAAACACUGAGAAGGGUUUGUAUGCAGGCCUCUGCUGCGUGUGAUGACAAAAAGAGACUAGAAUGUUAAGGUUAGGAAAGAAACAGAGUAAAAUGGGGAACAUCAUUGUACAAUCUAUCACACAUCCUUAUUCUCAUCUGUGUGUAAUGUGGUAUAGAUUGUAUUCAGAAAAAAGAAUACAGAGAAGGCAAAGAAAAGAGAUGGCCUGGUGCAAUUGCCAUACAAGCAGGGGAUUCAUAUACCGGGAAUCUUGAACUUGCAAGAAGAAAUGUGGGUAUAAUUUGGCAGAGGUCUGUCAGUAUCGCGGAUGGAGAGGAGAUGGUGAAUGAGUGACUUAUUUUUUCCAAACAGUUUUGUAUUAUUUGAUCUCGAGUUACCUGGCAAGGAGAAAUACUACAAACUAACACAUCCUAUUACACAGGCAAAAGGUAUAAACAAGUUCAAAAAUUAAGAUGUGCUGAAGGACACCAAGGAGAUUAGAUUGUCCUUGCGCUUGAACAGGAUAGCAUAAUUGCAACAUACAUUACAUAUACAACACAUUAAUGAGUUUGGAAGCUUAUUUGCCAGUAGAUCCAAAUGCAGAACUAUUAGCGUUACAAAUCUCUAUGUAGAGAAGUCUAGACACCAGAUUCAGAAUAAGAUAACUCAGUAAAUAUAGAGGAAUUUGAACCAAUAUAAAAUCUGUGACGUGUUAGGAUAAGAUUUGGCAUAUUAAAUUAUUAAGUGGCUACAUUGACAUUUUAUUCAAUCCCCAUACUUACAGAGCUUUCAACAUUCGUCAGGGUCGGGGUUUCCAAAAGGAUUUAUAGCAAGAAAGUAUAACCAAGACUUGAAUGAGAAUAGAUCAAAAAUAGCAUUGAGGUUUAUUUUAAGAGAAUGCAAGGAGGAGUUAAAAACAUCAUUUACAAAGGCACCACAAAACACCUCUGGAAAAUUCAUUUUCAGCUAUAUUUAGUACAUUAAAAGAAAUGGUGGCUCUCACUUGAGCUAUAUCAGCUCAAAUACAGAUAAAAAAUAGUCAGAUUACAUAGACUUGUCUUGAAUAACUAAAUAUUUAAUGCAAUUGUGCACUUCUGAGUCAUGUUGCCCAAGGAGGCUGUGGAUGCCCCAUCCCUGGAGGCAUUCAAGGCCAGGCUGAAUGUGGCUCUGGGCAGCCUGGUCUGCUGGUUGGUGACCCUGCACAUAGCAGGGGGUUGGAACGGGAUGAGCAUUGUGGUCCUUUUCAACCCAGGCCAUUCUAUGAUUCUGUGUUUGGUUUUAGUAUGCAUCUUUUCAGGUGAGUUCCUGUCUCUAAGUAGUCUUACCUCUUAACUGCCAUUUCUGCAGGUGUAUAUCUGUACUUAACAUUUAAGUUCAUCAAAAGUAUGUUGAGACAAUGAAAUUCUAAUGCUGAGAGCUUUUAGUACACAAAUAGCUCUUCAGUACAAAGAGCCCUUCAGUACACUCUUCCCUGCAAAAUUUAGUCUAGAAUAAUUCCAGUGUCUUAACUUCAUUUAACUCUGAUACCUUCCUAAGCCUUGGUCUUGAAAAUGUAUCCUCAUCUCAUAGCAUGAGUGUUAGACACCGCAAGGACAGCAAUGUCUGUCUGACUGCAGUUCUACGGUGUGUUUUUUCCCUUAUACUGACUCAUACCUAGAUCGAUUCAUAUUAUGAUCUUAGGUUCCUUUUGUGAAAACUCACUGCAACCUCAUCCAAGCCCUCAAACACUGCGUACGUAAGUCAGAUCCUGGAAAAUAUGAAAAAAGAGACUUUACUCCAACUUCUAUCUAAAACAUCUAUUGCUGGAACGUGUUUAAUUUUAUUUGAUUUACAAUACUUCACUUUUUUCUUUCUUGCCAAAGCCAACAGUAGCUGUUGCUUAUGCUGUUUGCCGUCGUCUCCAUCUGCAUCUUUGGUUACUUGUUGCCUUCUUGCUGCUAGCAUUUGCAGAAGUCUGCUUGCAUCUCUGGGAGUCUUGCAACUCGGGGCAGUUUUUCCCCUUUGGUGGUUAAAAUUCACAGUAGCAUGAAAUGAUUCGUACUGUGAAUCACAUUUUCCUAUAGCUCAAGGCCUUGGCCUGGUCCCCUCUCAGAUGCCUUACACAGUGCUCUCUGCCAGUGGCACGGAACACCUCUGUCUCAUCUACAGAGGUCCCGGGCUCACGCUGCAUGUGCCAACAUUUCAGUAUUGUUAGUAACACCAGGUUCCAUUUUGGGGUGUUGAUCUCAAUGAACCUCAUAAUUUUACUAUGUAGAAACUGGACCCUUUCUUAUCUUACCUUUCCUUAAUUCUUUCUUUUGGAAUGAUUUCCAUAAAGCACCCAGGAAAAGUCAAUUUUGCCUCCAAUUUAGCACUGCAUUUGUUUCAAGUUUUUGUCUGACCCGUUUUCUGCGACUGUUUACUUAAGUGAUUACGUAUUUAGGUGCAUGCAGGUAUAUUUUUAAGGCUCUAAAUCUUGCUCAAGUCCAAUUUAUACAAAUGCCCCAUUUAACACAUUUUCCUCUGGAGCUUAAUGUCCCCGUUGUCUUAUUAGUAUUGUGACACGCCUGCUCAUAUGAGGCACAUCCACUGCACAUCUCAAUAAAAGUAAACAUCCUGUGUUUCUCAGCCUUCUCUAAACCCCAACAGAUGGCUGCUACUUUUACAAACUGUGCUGAAUAGAAUGGCUCACGUUUCCCUUACAAGAGUCUUAUUUCUGGAAUCCAAGCCCAGUGUAAUUCUUGCAGCUUGGAACACAGAUCUAACCACAGAUCAGUGGAGCCUGCAUCAGUCCCGCAUGCUGACUCUUCUCAGCUCAGAUCUGCUUGCUUUUUGGGAUGGAUGUACAGGGAACGUAUUUGGUAUUUCUGAUCCAUCCGAAGCUGCAGGAUGACUAGUAAUGGCUUCCACAUGUAUGUCCUUGAUCAGCAAACCUAGGGGUCCUUUGUGCUAUACGUCUGUCAGAACCUUUAAUGUUCAUUUUUUUUUCCCCAGACAGUGUUUUUUGGAGAUGUAGGAUAUUCUUAGAAUGACUGAAUUUCACCUUAAUGCUCAGAGCCAGCCUCUGCUCGGGAUACUGUCAGAAGGUGUGGGAGAUGUCAUACAUUUUCACUACCUUACCUAGCGCUCAGCAGACAUAUGCCACAGGCGUAUGGCUUAGGCUGAUUGUGCAGCAGCAGUGCUACACUGAUGUUGUCUGUUCUUACCCCCAUCCAGGAAUCAAGGGCACUUCAGUGCCUGGGUGAACUGGCAGCAAUGCCAGCUUGAGACUUUACCCUGCAUGCGUGAAGGGGAUGUGUUCAGGAGCAUUCCUGUCUCGUUUUUUUCCUCAGAAAAUCAUCUCUGGAGCUACUUCGGCUGCAGGUCAAGGCAAGCAGUUCCUAUGUAAGUUUUACAGCAAUCUCGGGGCAGUUUAGGAAUGGUCUUCAUCUUUGCCUGCUGAAACUUUUUCUCCACUGAAUGGCAGGCUUGCAAUCAGCUACUUGUUCCCACUUUGCAGUGACUGAAUUAAGUAUCUAAUGAAAAAAAGAAAAAGCUCCGGAGAGACCAUCUUGUGUUCUUCUGGACCUUCCAAAGUAGGUUUUUUUUGCAUGGAAGAUUUUCAGUGAGCUGCACAACUGUUAAGUAGUGCCCAGAGGCCCUACAAUUAUGCCAUUUGCUUAGGUAUGUUUAUGUCAGGCUUAACUCUGGAGAAUUAAGAAAGUCCUUAUACUUCUCCAAAUAUACUGUCUACCAAAAUAGUUGAGUGCAAGCUAAUGGACUAGCUACCCUUGUAUACUUUCAUCACCAAGACCUUGUCUGAUUCAUGGUAUUUGGGGGAUAUUUUUUUAUCAUACCAACACAGAAACACAGAACAAGAGACUGGCUACAACCCAAAACCCAUCAAGUCUUUUUUAUUUCCUAAAUCGGUUAUUUGCACUUCCAAUUCCCUUUACCAUUCAUGUGGUAUUUUUUUGUGUUGGUUUUUUUUUUUAACAGACUAACCAUUGUUAUGCCUGUUUUCAUUGUGUUUAAAGUGGGUCUUUUUGUACCAUGUCAUUUGCAUCGUAUCACUUCAUGCUUAGCCAACUUGUCCUUCAGCUCACUGUCUGAUCACUUCUGAGUGACCCCAGAGGCAAGAACUGUGAAACCAGAGAUUUGAAAGGUUUCUCACCAGAGUUCUGGUCAUGGCGAUGGCACUUCUGAUAUAACUCCCAGUAAUGGUCACAUCCUCUUGGAGCAGUUUUUCUGUUGAUCAAAAUGUGUGACUGGUUUAAGCUGAGACUCUCUUCAGCCAGUCUUGCAAUGUUUCCUUGAAGAGAGGUUCCCGGGGUGGUUAUAUCCAUUUUCCCAUUAAUGGGACUAAGCGCCAUUGACUGGUGUACACAGCCAAAGAGUUUCCUGAGAGGAUGUGUUGGCUUUUUGUUUUGCUUUGUUUUACAAAAAGUUCUGCUCAGAAAAAUCAAUAUUACAGAAAAAAAGCAACCUAUCAACAUUUUCCAGUACAUAUAGCAGAGAUACCAUUUGCUUUACCUAGACACACAUCCUGGCCACAGAAAGAUGGGUACUGAGAGCAGAUGAGCUACUUGCAUUCAUUGACCUCUGCCAGGAAUUUCAUAUAUUUUGUUAACUGCAAAUCUUUUAGAUUUUUAAUCUAAAAGAAAUAUUUUAGGACUGCUUGUACUGACCCUCGUGCAGGUACUUUUUCAUAAACUAAGAACUGCAAAGUUUUAUCUACUUUUUGCCCUCAAUUUUCACUUUUUUUUUUAAAGCACAGUCAUACUUCAACUCCUCCAUUGAGUUUUUCCAAUUCAGUGAAGGCAUCCCUGAACCAUCUUGUCUGCAACACUAAGGCACAUCCUUAUGUUUGUAGACUUCCCUGGCCACCUGGGCAGCUGAACGACAGUACAAUCAUAAGGACUAUAGAAAUUGACUCUAUGCCUUUUCAAAAAAUUAUGCACAAGUGUGCUUGUGUAAAUAUAUCAUGAAUGUUAUCAGUGGUCACAUGAGGCAUCAAAAUCUGUUAUUCCUUACACAGAAACUUGGAUACAAGUGUGACCCAAGCCAAUAGAUAAUAUAUGAUUUCUACAGAUAUUUGUUACAGUGAAAAGACCAUAGUGUACAGCUUUACAAAUUUUAAGUGGGAGAGAAACUUUGUAUGAAAAUGCUAAUCAUGACCAGAGCUUCAAACACGUGCUGUGAGAAGCCCGUAGUAAGCACACACAACCUCUCACCCUUUUACCCCAUAUUCAUACACAGAUCCUACAAUGUAUGUAUCACAUACAUCUAGCUCUUUUCUCUCUCCAGCUAAUUUCUAAGUACUGUGCAUGCUUUACACUAUGCUGAAAUCUGUUCCAGCCAGUCAGGCUACUCUGCUGCUACAAAGGAUAAAAGCAAGGUCAAGCUAAUCAAGCCCAAGAGGAUAGCAACCCAUGUGGCUAUUAAAGAAGGUUACAGUAGGCUCAGAGUUGUCAGGAGAGACAUACAAACAGCUCCUUAUGAGUGUAAAUAAGGCAGAUUCAAAUGUGUUUAAUUGUGCGUGCCUGUCUCAAAAUCUGGCUCAUCGUUCUUCUUUCCAUUUCUCACUCAGGGUCACCAGUGCCUGAAAACACUGAUAUGCCAAGGAAGCCAAUUCCCUGUGGGAGCGUGACUGUGCUCCUCACAUAGAAAUUUCCCCUUCUGUCACUUGGCAUAGUUCAGUAUGUGACUUGCUAAUUCAAAAUAUAAACAGAGAGGAACUAGGGCCAAUAGUUGAAGAGCUGCAAGCAGAAUUCUCAGUCCUUCCCAGUAAGUGAAUGAUACCUCCCCUCUGGAACCAUCACCCAUUUCUCUGGUUAUUUUAGCUUAACCAGUACCAUAUCCUUGGAACUUAGGAGGAAAUGGGGAAAAUGCCAUUCUCAAACACAUGUUUUAGGCUGAAAAAACAAACCACUCAAUGUCUGCAGUUCAUGAUACAUAAUUUAGCAGGCAAGUUUGUCUCCUCCUAUAGUUCUUUUGUUCCCAUGAAUUGCUUAUUUCCUUUCUUUCUUUGUAUCAUUUUCUCCCAUGACUUUGUUGUUCUUUAACACCUUUUAAUUAUAGUAUGAAAUACAUAAGCGUGUAUUUAAAUAUAUCUCAGUUCCUGCUGCUCUCAUCCCAGUUACAAAUGCAAUUUAAAACCCUUACACAUAUUUAUGCACCAUUCAUCAAGCUUCUAAGGAAGAAAAAACUUUCCCGUAUGCCCUCCUUUACACAUUUUUCUUCAUUUCCAUGAACGAGGCCUGCUGCAGCUUUGCAGGCUUUGCCUGAAAAUGGAUAACGAAAUGAAACAUCCAUGUUAAACAAAUGGAAAAUAUGGAAAAUACACUGAGAGUACAGACAGACAUCUUCUGAAAGCCAAACUCAGGACACUGCCUUUCCUUCGGUUCUUUAUCUAACCCAGUGAGUGCUCUCUCCCAGCAUGGCAGUGAACUUCAGCAGGAGGCAGUAAUGAUGUUUUAGAGUAGCUGCCGUAGUAAUGGUGUAUCUUCUUUCCCCUCCUGCAGCAGGCUGGAGCACCUGGUUCUGCUUUGGAAGGUGAAACCAAGAGGUUUCUUGCUCAGAGGCAACACUGUUGAACAUGUGGGGAUUCUUUACUAAUGGUUAUGGCAUCUUCUUUGCUUGGCAUAUCCUGAGGAAGUGCUUUGGUAAUUGCUCCACUCUACUACACAAGUUGCUCAUUUGGUACUUGCCAAAUUCUUCCAGUGUCCAUCUGCAGCUCGUAACACUUUCUUGACACUCUAUCCAUCAGGGCAACCAAGUGAGCAGGGAAGUAGCUGCAAAAGCUUCUUGCUUCUUUGGCUCCCUCCUUUGUUCAGAGGAGUUCGUCUGCACUUUUAUUACAAAAAAUACUCAAGAAUUAAGACAAAGACCCUCAUCCAGUGUGACUUUUCACUCCCAGAACUGCACCUGGAGCAUGGACCACAUCCACACAGUUCUGAACCAAUCCAGUGCUGCUCACGGCUCACAUUUCAUUUCAGAGCCAAACUUGGAAAGCUCAGGCUAGCAGUUGCAUUUUAAGGGAGCUGGGUACAUCUUUUAAGUGUUUGAAUUUGAAGUUCAAAGUAAGUAUUUCAAAUAAAGGGAAGCUGAUAAUUUAUGGCAAUACAGAGGGCAUGAUGCCUUUAAUAGAAUUAUUAAACUGAAUUAAUGAGUGACUGUUUUUCAAUAGGGAGAAAGAAAAGGGAGUAGAAUGCCAUGAAAGUCAGUGCCCCUAUCCAAAGAAUUAAAAAAUCAGUUCUCCUGAUUUUCUUCAGUGAAAUAAUUUUGAGGAGUGAUGCUGUAGUAAAUGAGCAGCUCUCAGCAGUUUGCCAUCCUGAGUCUAUCGGGGUAUGUUCACAUUUACUGUCAUACAUACAGAUAGGACUCUGAUGGACCAGAGAUGGUUGCAGUUCUUCCAUGCUCUUUGUGAGCUUAUCUUCCUGAAGCCUUCACACACUCACAGGAACCAUCAAACAAGUGCACCACUUGGUGGGUGCUAGAACUUUCCAUCUGCCUGCUUCAGAAUCUCGGCUCUGAAAGCAGAGCUUCCAUCUCAACACAAGGAGAAAAUAUUCUCGCUAUAGGUGUUGGAGCACUGACACAGCCUGCCCAGAGAGGUUCUGGAGUCUCCUCUUUGGAGAUCUAAAGCCACCCGGACGUGGGCCUGGCCUGCCUGCUCUGGGUCUCGCUGCUGGAGCAGGGGUUGGAACAGCCGGACCCACAUUUGUCCACAGCUUAGAAGCUCAAGAAUGCUCACUUUGGAAGAUAUUUUACAUAUUUUGGCAAACAAAGGAUGGAACAAAAUAAAAUAAAUGCCCCAAAGCCCUUCAAGAAUAUUAGUACAUAAAUAGUAAUCACGCUCAGUAACGCUAUUAUGAAAGCUAUUAUCUGUUAAUCACAGUUUAGUCACUCAAGGUUGAUUUCAGAGCAACUUCUUUCUGCCAAUAUCCCAAACCAGCUACACUUCAUCUUAGCUGAAGUCAUCUUCACAUGGCUUUCUAGAUUAGGUUUUGGUCAUUCAGGCUACAGGUUACAAUACAUGAACAGCCCACUUAACAGCCAUAGCAGAUCCUACCUGGAAACUGAGACUGAGGAAAUAAGAGCAGCAGUUCUUGGUUCUGAAAUAGCCUGCCAGUCAGAAGCAUUUUACCUUUUUGCUUCUGGAAUGGAGACAGACGUAGUAAUUGACAUUUCUGGUCAUCAGGAGCAGCCAAAUUCAGAAACACCAGGAACACAGAUGAGAACGACAGUGAUUUUCCCCACAUCCAUUUGGCUGGCAGCGAAGAGGAGCGAUCCCAUGACUGUACAGCACAGACCAAAACCAGCAUGAAGCAUUUCCGUUCUCAAUUCUACAAAAAGUCCUUUGUCACUUUGGGAAAGUUCCUUUAACAUCGUUUCAUAUCACACUAGUUCCCUCUGAAAGCUGCUGCUAGAGAAAGUUUUGCAGGCUGAAGUCAGAUUUGGACUAGUUUAAUGCACGAUGCUGAGUCUACAUGCAUACCAACCUGAGUAAUUGUGUUGCAAGACAACUGACACUAGGAUUUAUUCUAGGUAGUAUUUUAUUUGGGACGGGGUGCAACCCAAAUGGUAGAGGAAAAAGACCAGAAAACUGCCACGAUCAUUUAGUCUGGUAAGAGAUAAAACUCAUUGCUCAAAAACAAAAUGAAGUCCAGUCUUAUUCCAGUGCUAUGGUGUCCCGUAGGUAUAGGCAAGUAGCUGGAAUGGUUAAUUGUGCCCCUAUCCCCCAUUAUGAAGUACCUUAUUUCCCAUUUGACCUAUGUUUUGAAUGGCAUCCCAUUUCAGCUCGCAGGCAUUCAUCCUGUCAGACUCUGACUAUUGUAAUAAAACCUUUUAUUACCAAGUUUUGUCUCUGUAUAAAGUCAUUAGCUGAAGAACAAAGUCUGCAGCACUCACAGGCUGUGGAAGGAGGGAUAUUCCUCGUUACAUCCUUCUGCCUUCAUUCCGUGGUUUUCUCCAGCACACAAGCUGUAGGAGCACGGGGUCUGGCAGGGGAUGAGUUGUGGUGCCAGGGCUCAUACUUUCCAGGAUCAGAUUUGGACCACAGGUCCCAGAGCAGCACUUGCCCCUCAGUACAGUACAGAACAGGACCCCAUCCUCAGAGGGCCCUCACUCACAUACGUGCACUCCAGAGAGACCACGAGCUUCCUAGAAUUUGAAAUACGUAGGAUUCAGGCCAGCUCAGGAUUUACAACUCGCAUUGGUAAGUAGUGGUACUGGCACUUACUGUAUGUUUCCUUAUGGGGAAAGCAACAAAUGCAAGAGAACUUGAAUAGAAAUGAAACAGUGAUAAAAACAAACAUUGGGGAAAACAUCAGAAUACAAAUUUGUACUCCGAACAUUUAGUGCUAAAUCUGGAUGUGCGUCAGGCUACGUUAACCAGAGACAGGAAGAAGUUCAGAAAUGGUCAGUCCUAGAUGAAAAGCGUAUUAGAUAGCUUUCCUUCACAUAACUACUUGGUAAGUGUCCCCUUCACAAAGCACACUUGACAGCAGGUUCAUGGUGCAAGGGAAGCAGUUAACAGCACCAGCACCAACUCCUUUGCGGUGAUUGUCCCAGCUGUGCAGCUGCCCCGUGCAGCACUGGUAGAGCUGGUGGUGCCCCGCACCAUUGGAAUUGCACUGGCAGCUUUUCCUGCUGUGUAUUACAAAGCUUUCAGAGGCAGCAUUCCUUACACCUGGGGAUUUGUAGCUUUCUGAAAGGGCAACAGCUGCCCGUGCUCCACCUGAGUGCAGCUGAAGAGUUGAGGUCUGCAGCUGAGUGAAGACAGCUUUUCUCCCUUACGUUACUUAACAAUAAAAGGGAGACAGAGGCAAUGUGUCUCUUUAGCCAAGUUAUGAUUUUUCAGAAGAGUUUAGGGUGUGCUUCAUGUUUUGCAGUGGUUUUCCAUGACUUGGGGAAAGCCUACGUGUGUACUGAGAAACAUCUUCAACCUUCCCAUAAUAAAGGCCAUGAAUGACUGCAGCUACUUAAGACCUGCCCUGGUUUCUAAGAUUUUAAGGGUGCUGUCAGUGGCUUUAGUGCAUUAAAUACACCAACAGUAAUCUGCCAGUAACCAAACACCUGGCAGGAAAGCACCAUGGGUUUGUCAAACUUCAGUGAAAUGAAACACUUGGUAAGGAACAGAGAUGACAGAACAAAUUACAGCAGCACUCCAGUGCAGCCUUCACACAUCUCAUGCUGUUAUCCCAACCGUGCAUGGCAGUAAGAGCCACUGCUGUUUAUAAAACACUCAGGAACACAGCAAGCAAAUUGAGUAUUCAGCAGUGGUCAGAAGGCAGCAGCCUUUACAUGCCCCUUUGGCUCUCACUUCAGCCACCUCUUUCACAUCCAUUCCAUUCCUCAGGCUCUGUAGAACGGUUUGAGUUGGAAGGGACCUCUAAAGGUCACCUAGUCCAGCUGCCAUCCAACGAAGAUGAACAGGGCCUUGCUGUUUGUGUUCCAGCCUUUGGCUCUUCAACAACAGACCACAAACAAAAACCCAUCAGGAUUGCUUUAGCUUCACCCCCAGGGAAGAGCCUUCAUGUAACUUUGCCUUGGGGCUACUUGGUCACAGCCUGGAGCCCAUGUCUCUGGUUUCUUCCUCUUGCAUUCAACCCAACCCACUGCUUCCAAGUCGGAUUUAUUGCAGCCUGCUGACGAUGUGCAGCAGUCCCACGGACACUGCCCAGCCACACUGGGGUCAGACCAGGAAGAUACCACCUCAUAGCUCCCAAACGGAGUUAUUGAUCUGUGCCAGAAGACUCAAUGAUGACUUUAGCUGCAUUGCGACAUGGCUUCAGCUCGGGCAGCAGGAGAGAACGUGGGAUGAGCACAGCAGUGUUUCACUGGGACAGGGAAAGCUUGGGGUUUUCUCAGCCCGCCACCUGCCCAGCUGGCAUUCUCUCUUCACUCAUCUGUUGCUGUUCAGCUGUGUUUUACUCCCUCUGGUGCAUUGGCUGCACCUCCAGCCACAGUGCAAGGAGAGCAUACAGCAACACGGCUCAGAAGUCAGUCAGUGGUACUCACUGACACAGGGAAGAGUUUCUUGGGGAAAAUAAAGAUAAAUGCCAUUUUAUAUCACUCGCUAUGAGCUGGUAUUCUAUUCAUAAUGGUUCUCGAGAACAUUCUGCUCACGAAAUGCACAAUAAUGAAACCAUCCUGACAAAAAGAGAACGUGUAUCGUAUAUACCAAAUGCUGCAUUUUUCACACUCGUGAAUUGCACUUGGGUUGUAAGGGCCUGAAGUUUUAAUUUCGCUCCUUGAGAACAACUAUGUAACAUACCUUUAAAAGUGAGGGGGGUUAUUUUUAGCCAUACUGGAGAUAAUGGAAAAAACCUCAAAUCCUGUCUAAAAUCUGGGAAAAAAUAAGCUUUGAAUGUCAGAACGCCAUUUCCUUCCAGAAGAUUACCAAUGGUUUAUUAUUCCAAGCGUAUAUUUAGAAUACUCCACUUUCAUAGUUGCUUUAAUAUCAACCACGUUAAAACAUUUCUGAUAGCUGACUGAUGGGCUCCAUAAGCAAAUCCCAACCUCCCACACCUGUCCCAUCACACGGACUGCUCGGAGCAUCCUUCCCGUGUGCGCACACACACGUGGACCCUCGGCACGUUUCUUAGGCACACGGACACAGCGCUGUGCAUGAAGAACACGUGGCCCAAAACGUCAGCAAAAAAAGCACAGCCCUGCUUUGGGAGCAGUCGGCGAUGUCCCUGCAGCAGCCUGGUGAUUAAAAAUGUAGUUUUAAAACUGUGUUUCCUGUUCCUUUGGUGCUGAGCAGCUCUCGUGCCAUGAGUUGGAAACCAAACAUCAGUAACGGUUCUCUCUGUUUUUUCUGCUAUAGGUCACCGACGUGAAUAUACUUUAUUCCCCUACACUUUGGAUAGGCCAACUGAACAUUCUGGUUUGCACCCACAUUAGGUAACACUGUCGUCUUUCUUCUCUGAGGUUUUGUUGGAGGUCUGAGGAACACGAGAGGACAAGAAACACCUGUGUGGAGGCUCAGCUGUCCAAGCAGCAUGGAAAAGGUGUUAAGAACUCAGGGGGGGGGGGGGUUAUAUUUUGCAAACAAAAGGAGGCUCAUUUCCUCUAUUUGCUCAUCAGAGCUUUAGGUGCAAAAACACGCCUGGAGCUCGUGAAAUACCUUCACUUAUGUCUGUAUCUACCAAAAUUCUUUAUAGAGCCAUCUGAAAAGUAUUUGAUUUUUCCUUUAUGAAAUACUACAGAGCUUUUCUGAACUGUUUCAUCAAGCAAACCCUUAAUAAAAAACACACAGACCGACAGGAAUUGCGGGCUGUAAUCAAA